GAGACCCGUACCCACAGUUGCCAGCGGCUGCUCCGGCAGGCUGGGUACACUAUGGGGACCGCCUCUGCUAAAGAGGAGGAAGGAGCGGGCGACGGUAGGUCAGUAUGCCCCGAAUUCUCCGGGCUACACGCGGGCUACAAUGGAUGGGACAAUGGGCUCCGACACCGAAAGGUGAAGGCAAUCUCUUAAACCCAUUUUUAGUUCGGAUUGAGGGCUGAAACUCGCCCUCAUGAAGCUGGAAUCCGUAGUAAUCGCGUUUCAACAUAGCGCGGUGAAUAC
rnacentral:rRNA from 1 species